rnacentral:rRNA from 1 species
AUGAAUCAGCAUCGGCUAACUCCGUGCCAGCAGCCGCGGUAAUACGGAGGAUGCAAGCGUUAUCCGGAUUUAUUGGGGCGUAAAGCGUCCGCAGGUGGUUUUUCAAGUCUGCUGUUAAAGCGCAGAGCUUAACUCUGUAACGGCGGUGGAAACUGAGAGACUAGAGUAUGGUAGGGGUUGCGGGAAUUCCCAGUGUAGCGGUGAAAUGCGUAGAUAUUGGGAAGAACACCAGCGGCGAAAGCGCGCAACUGGGCCAUUACUGACACUCAUGGACGAAAGCUAGGGGAGCGAAAGGGAUUAGAUACCCCUGUAGUCCUAGCUGUAAACGAUGGGUACUAGGUGUUGACCGUAUCGACCCGGUCAGUGCCGUAGCUAACGCGUUAAGUACCCCGCCUGGGGGAGUAUGCACGCAAGUGUGAAACUCAAAGGAAUUGACGGGGGCCC